rnacentral:rRNA from 1 species
CAUGAACCCCCUCCCACUACCAAGUGAUCCCAUAAAAAUAUGGAAGCCCCCCAUGUUAGGACCGGUAACAAGAAUUUAAUAUUCUCCGAAGUGUAAACAUAAGCCAGACUGGAUAAGCCACUGGCAUCUAACGGAUGUGAGCCACUUGCAGCAACACAACAAGAAAACCCUGCUUUUUUUACCGUUAACCUUACACAAGCACACUCCCGGAAAGAUUAAAAGGGGGGGAAGGAACUCGGCAAAACUCGACUCCGCCUGUUUACCAAAAACACCGCCUCUUGACCCACCAUAAGAGGUCUAGCCUGCCCAGUGAAAAUUAAACGGCCGCGGUACCCUGACCGUGCAAAGGUAGCAUAAUCACUUGUUCUUUAAAUAAGGACUCGUAUCAAUGGCACCACGAGAGUUAAACUGUCUCCCCCCCCCAAUCAGUGAAAUUGAUCUCCCCGUGAAGAAGCGGGGAUAUUAGUAUAAGACGAGAAGACCCCAUGGAACUUAAGACCGCAUUGCAACCCUACCACACAACCCCACAGAAUGCUUAGAGACAUGCAAUAAAGUCUUUGGUUGGGGUGACCGCGGAGUACAGACCAACCUCCACAGCGUAAAGAACUAAAUCUUAAUCCAAGAAUCACUAUUCAAAGAAUUUGUAAACAAACGACUAAUGACCCGACUUUCGAUCAACGAACCAAGUUACCCUGGGGAUAACAGCGCAAUCUACUUUUAGAGCCCCUAUCAACAAGUAGGCUUACGACCUCGAUGUUGGAUCAGGGUAUCCUAGCGGCGCAGCCGCUG